rnacentral:rRNA from 1 species
AAAAAAGGUAAGCUACUAAGAGCGAAUGGUGGAUGCCUUGACUGGUAAAGGCGAUGAAGGACGUACUAGACUGCGAUAAGCUACGGGGAGCUGUCAAGAAGCUUUGAUCCGUAGAUUUCCGAAUGGGGCAACCCAAUGUAUAGAGAUAUACAUUACCUAUAUAGGAGCGAACGAGGGGAAUUGAAACAUCUUAGUACCCUCAGGAAAAGAAAUCAAUAGAGAUUGCGUCAGUAGCGGCGAGCGAAAGCGCAAGAGGGCAAACCCAGUGCUUGCACUGGGGGUUGUAGGACUGCAAUGUGCAAGAGGUGAGUUUAGCAGAACAUUCUGGAAAGUAUAGCCAUAGAGGGUGAUAGUCCCGUAUGCGAAAAACAAACCUUAGCUAGCAGUAUCCUGAGUAGGGCGGGACACGAGAAAUCCUGUCUGAAGCUGGGUCGACCACGAUCCAACCCUAAAUACUAAUACCAGAUCGAUAGUGCACAAGUACCGUGAGGGAAAGGUGAAAAGAACUGAGGUGAUCAGAGUGAAAUAGAACCUGAAACCAUUUGCUUACAAUCAUUCAGAGCCCUAUGUAGCAAUACAGGGUGAUGGACUGCCUUUUGCAUAAUGAGCCUGCGAGUUGUGGUGUCUGGCAAGGUUAAGCAAACGCGAAGCCGUAGCGAAAGCGAGUCUGAAUAGGGCGCUUAGUCAGAUGCUGCAGACCCGAAACGAAGUGAUCUAUCCAUGAGCAAGUUGAAGCUAGUGUAAGAACUAGUGGAGGACUGAACCCAUAGGCGUUGAAAAGCCCCGGGAUGACUUGUGGAUAGGGGUGAAAGGCCAAUCAAACUUCGUGAUAGCUGGUUCUCUCCGAAAUAUAUUUAGGUAUAGCGUUGUGUCGUAAUAUAAGGGGGUAGAGCACUGAAUGGGCUAGGGCAUACACCAAUGUACCAAACCCUAUCAAACUCCGAAUACCUUAUAUGUAAUCACAGCAGUCAGGCGGCGAGUGAUAAAAUCCGUCGUCAAGAGGGAAACAACCCAGACUACCAGCUAAGGUCCCUAAAUCUUACUUAAGUGGAAAACGAUGUGAAGUUACUUAAACAACCAGGAGGUUGGCUUAGAAGCAGCCAUCCUUUAAAGAAAGCGUAAUAGCUCACUGGUCUAGUGAUUUUGCGCGGAAAAUAUAACGGGGCUAAAGUAAGUACCGAAGCUGUAGACUUGCGCACAACUUAGAUUAUUUAAGUUUAGAAUAUGAGAAACUAAGUUAUAUGUUUAGUUAUAUUUUUACUGAUUUUUAUAGAGUAAAGAUAGAAAUAAAACUUAGUAAAAUCAGUAAAAAUAUUCUUAGACUAAAGUUAAGUAGUUUAAGUUGUGUGCAAGUGGUAGGAGAGCGUUCUAUUUGCGUCGAAGGUAUACCGGUAAGGAGUGCUGGAGCGAAUAGAAGUGAGCAUGCAGGCAUGAGUAGCGAUAAUUAAUGUGAGAAUCAUUAACGCCGUAAACCCAAGGUUUCCUACGCGAUGCUCGUCAUCGUAGGGUUAGUCGGGUCCUAAGUCGAGUCCGAAAGGGGUAGACGAUGGCAAAUUGGUUAAUAUUCCAAUACCAACAUUAGUGUGCGAUGGAAGGACGCUUAGGGCUAAGGGGGCUAGCGGAUGGAAGUGCUAGUCUAAGGUCGUAGGAGGUUAUACAGGCAAAUCCGUAUAACAAUACUCCGAGAACUGAAAGGCUUUUUGAAGUCUUCGGAUGGAUAGAAGAACCCCUGAUGCCAUCGAGCCAAGAAAAGUUUCUAAGUUUAGCUAAUGUUGCCCGUACCGUAAACCGACACAGGUGGGUGGGAUGAGUAUUCUAAGGCGCGUGGAAGAACUCUCUUUAAGGAACUCUGCAAAAUAGCACCGUAUCUUCGGUAUAAGGUGUGGUUCGCUUCGUAUUAGGAUUUACUCCGAAAGCGAAGAAACUUACAACAAAGAGUCCCUCCCGACUGUUUACCAAAAACACAGCACUCUGCUAACUCGUAAGAGGAUGUAUAGGGUGUGACGCCUGCCCGGUGCUCGAAGGUUAAUUGAUGGGGUUAGCAUUAGCGAAGCUCUUGAUCGAAGCCCGAGUAAACGGCGGCCGUAACUAUAACGGUCCUAAGGUAGCGAAAUUCCUUGUCGGUUAAAUACCGACCUGCAUGAAUGGCGUAACGAGAUGGGAGCUGUCUCAAAGAGGGAUCCAGUGAAAUUGUAGUGGAGGUGAAAAUUCCUCCUACCCGCGGCAAGACGGAAAGACCCCGUGGACCUUUACUACAGCUUGACACUGCUAUUUGGAUAAGAAUGUGCAGGAUAGGUGGGAGGCUUUGAGUAUAUGACGCCAGUUGUAUAUGAGCCAUUGUUGAGAUACCACUCUUUCUUAUUUGGGUAGCUAACCAGCUUGAGUUAUCCUCAAGUGGGACAAUGUCUGGUGGGUAGUUUGACUGGGGCGGUCGCCUCCCAAAUAAUAACGGAGGCUUACAAAGGUUGGCUCAGAACGGUUGGAA